UUCGGGGAGGACGGUCACCACUUUGUGAUUCAUGACUGGGGUGAAGUCGUAACAAGGUAACCCUAGGGGAACCUGGGGUUGGAUCACCUCCUUAUCUUGAAG
rnacentral:rRNA from 1 species